GGUGAUAUAGCUCAGUUGACAGAGUGCUUGCCUUUCAUGCACAAAUCCCUGGGUUCAAUCCCUAGCAUCCCCC
rnacentral:tRNA from 1 species